GGCUGGUUAGCUCAGUCAGUUGAGCAUGACACUAACAAUGCCAAGGUCGUGGGUUCGAUUCCCGUCCGAUCCC
rnacentral:tRNA from 1 species